rnacentral:lncRNA from 1 species
AUACAGUGAAAUCAAUCCUUAUUCCGCACUCCCUCUCACCGGCCUGAAACAUAUAUAAAUCAUGAAUUCUUCAGAGCGGGCCGGCAGGCCGGGCGUACGGGGACCGUCGAAGAAGUGCCUCAACGCGCCGCAGCCACUACUUUGACUCCUUUUAUGCAAUUAUGAACUCCACGGAACUUUAUCAAUUCCAACGCAACUUAUCCUUUU